GUGCUUGCUUUGGCAGCACAUAUGCUAAAAAAUUGGAACAAUGCAGAGAAGAUUAGCACAGCCCCUGUGCAAGGAUGACACGCAAAUUUCGUAAGGUGUUCCAUAAAAAA